UCGAGAAUUUUUCACAAUGGGCGAAAGCCUGAUGGAGCGACGCCGCGUGGGGGAUGAAUGGCUUCGGCCCGUAAACCCCUGUCAUUCGCGAUCAACCCUUAUUAUUUAAAAGAUGAUAAGCUGAUAGUAGCGGAAGAGGAAGGGACGGCUAACUCUGUGCCAGCAGCCGCGGUAAUACAGAGGUCCCAAGCGUUGUUCGGAUUCACUGGGCGUAAAGGGUGCGUAGGUGGUGACGUAAGUCGGAUGUGAAAUCUCGGAGCUCAACUCCGAAAUGGCAUUGGAAACUGCGUCGCUUGAGGGUCGGAGGGGGGACUGGAAUUCUCGGUGUAGCAGUGAAAUGCGUAGAUAUCGAGAGGAACACCAGUGGCGAAGGCGAGUCCCUGGACGACUCCUGACACUGAGGCACGAAAGCUAGGGGAGCAAACA
rnacentral:rRNA from 1 species